UGGGGAAUAUUGCACAAUGGGCGCAAGCCUGAUGCAGCAACGCCGCGUGAACGAUGAAGGUCUUCGGAUCGUAAAGUUCUGUUGCAGGGGAAGAUAAUGACGGUACCCUGUGAGGAAGCCCCGGCUAACUACGUGCCAGCAGCCGCGGUAAUACGUAGGGGGCUAGCGUUAUCCGGAUUUACUGGGCGUAAAGGGUGCGUAGGUGGUCUUUCAAGUCGGUGGUUAAAGGCUACGGCUCAACCGUAGUUAGCCUCCGAAACUGGAAGACUUGAGUGCAGGAGAGGAAAGGGGAAGUCCCAGUGUAGCGGUGAAAUGCGUAGAUAUUGGGAGGAACACCAGUAGCGAAGGCGGCUUUCUGGACUGCAACUGACACUGAGGCACGAAAGCGUGGGUAGCAAACAGG
rnacentral:rRNA from 1 species